rnacentral:rRNA from 1 species
UACGUAGGGAGCAAGCGUUGUCCGGAAUCAUUGGGCGUAAAGCGCGCGUAGGUGGUCUCGUAAGUCCGCUGUGAAAGUCAAAGGCUCAACCUUUGAAAGCCGGUGGAUACUGUGGGACUAGAGUACGGAAGAGGAGAGUGGAAUUCCUGGUGUAGCGGUGAAAUGCGCAGAUAUCAGGAAGGAACACCAAUGCGAAAGGCAGCUCUGGACGGU